UGCAAAUGUACUUAAAUCCAGUAUAUAUGCACACACGCAGGUAAACAGUUGAAUUAGGGUUUUUUCUCUAGAGCCACAUGAGCUCCAAAAUUAUUCAUAUUAGCCGUCUCUAAAUUGUUCUUUCUCAGACACACAAUAUCGCCCAUCGAUUCCUGCAAACCCAAAUCGGAAAAAUUUAUGCCACCCUGCUCCGAUCCACUUCUUCUGAACCAUCGAAAUCGAAAUCGAAAUUAUACCAUACAGUUCCUUGUAAAAUUGUUUUCUGAAAUGAAAAUAAUAAUUAUUCGAUCUGAUGUCAACGAUACGAUUGAGUACGUUCUUGAUUUGAUCCAAUCGAAAUCUGGAAUUCCAUUGAACCAGCAGCUGUUAAUUUAUAAGAGCAAGCAGCUUUACCAGGAGCAAACCCUAGGGCAACGUUGUGGUGAAAAUGAUGCUGUGUUCAUUAAUUUGGAGAUUGUGUAAACAGAAUUCGGGGAGUGAAGCUUGGGACAGAGAAGCACGUCGCCUGAUCUGAAGAAACCUAACUGAUUAUUUCAGUGAUUUGCUGCGAGUGAUGAUGAUAUGGCUACAGGGCAUUUCCAGGUAUUUUCGUAUUCUGAUGCACCAGUUGCUUCAUUGAUACUAAUUUUUUAGAUCCCCAUUUUCUUGUCAUGGUUAUUUAGAUUUUAGAAUAUCAGUUGAAUUUUCAUCAUUAGUAUAUUAAUUAUUAGUGUUUCAGCCUCAUCGUGUGCAAUGUACUCAAAAGAAUCCUCCAGCAAUCGUGAUCUAUAGAUAAGCAUCUCUAGGAUCAGUACCUCAUCACUAACUUGUGGAAGUAACAUCAUUGCCAAAUGCCUUCUGCACUCAGAAUUAUCACCUCCUUAUGCUCCAAAAUCCAACUAUAAUCUUCAUCCAUCGUAGCAUAUUUAAUAAUUAAAUAGCAGAAAGAAAGAUUCCUCUUCCUUAAGGUUUUCCAAAAUUGUCUAGCUAGGGCUGGAAAGUGCUUAGACAUGUUAUUCAGUUCCACUAUGAUGGCAACAUACUGGUAGCACCCAAGAUUUUCACUCUUUGUCGACAAUAACUUCUCCAGUUCUUCAAGACAAUAAUCCAUCUUAUUCAACAGCCUAAAGAAAGUCUGAACCAUGAUACCAAAUUCUUGAUAAGGACCCCUGUGAGAGACCUUUCUGUAACCAAACUCAAGAAAAUUCUUGAAAUAUCAUGGUCACACAAAGGUCUCUCGGAAUGGGCUGAUGAAGAAUUUAAUAUCAUGGUUCAGACUUUCUUUAGGCCGUUGAAUAAGAUGGAUUGUUGUCUUGAAGAACGGGAGAAGUUUUUUCCCACAAAGAGUGAAAAUCUUGGGUGCUACCAGUAUGUUGCAAUCAUAAUGAAACUGAGUAACAUGUCUAAGCACUUCCCAGCCUUAGCAGGACAAUUUUGGACAACUUUGAGGAAUAGGAAGCUUUCUUUCCGCUAUUUAAUUAUUAAAUUUGCUAGCAAGGAUGAUGAUUAUGGAUGGAUUUCGGAGCAUAAAGAGGUGACUACUUUUGAGUGCAGAAGGCAUUUGGCAAUGAUGUUACUUUCACGAGUUAGUGAUGAGGAUAACAGUCUGAUCCUAGAGAUGCUUAUCGACAAAUCACGAUUUUUGGAGGAUUCUUUUGAGUACAUUGCACAUGCUGAGGUUGAAACACUUCAAGCUAGUUUACAUUUGCAGUUUAAAGAUGAGGAAGCUACUGGCCCCGGUGUUCUGAGGGAGUGGGUUAUCUUAGUUUGUCAAGCCAUAUUUGACCCUCGAAAUGCCCUCUUUGUAGCUUGUCCAAAUGAUCGUAGAAGGUUUUUUCCGAAUCCAGGUAAGCUUGGUGCUUCUGUCAUUCUACUUUGCCCUAUGUAUGAUUUCGUAGAAGUUAUAUAUUGUUUACGUUCCUAUCGGUAAAAUGCUGCCAUGUUUGAUAUAGUGAUUUCUUUCAACAUCAGUAUUUCAAGAAUUUAUACAUUGAAGGUGGUCAACUGAGAUUACCUCACCGAGUUAAUUUCAUAAAACUGAUAGUCUGGAUUGGGGGGAACACAGCCACCCCAUACUUCCCUUGAAUCCCUCCCUUUGUCCUCAGAUAAAUUCAAAUUCCAAAAUUAAUGACUAGGGUGGAUCCAAUCCACCUAGAAUACUUCAAGUUUGCUGGAAGAGUAGUUGCAUUGGCUUUAAUUCCCAAAGUUCAGGUUGGCAUUGUCUCUGAUAGAGUAUUAUUUUUACAACUGGCCGGAAAGAAAGUUCCUGUGGAAGACAUACGGGAUAUAGAUCCAGUCUUCUACACUAGUUGCAAGCGAAUAUUCGAAAUGGAUCCAGAGGAAGUUGAUCAAGAUGCUCUAGCUUUAACAUUUAUUGUCGAAACCGACAACUUUGGUUCCAAGACUAUUGAGCUCUGCCCUGAUGGAUUCUUUUUUUCCGGUGAAUAGUUAAAAUAGAGUAAACUAUGUUGCCCGGCUUCUUUAAUAUCACUUUGUUGAUUCUGUUAAGGAUCAGGUAGCUCAGUUUGCUCAAGGGUUUGACGAUAUCAUGAAUUUGGACAGGCUCCGGGAAUCAUUUUUUCAAUGCUUAGAACUUGAAGAUUUUGAUUGGAUGCUGUAUGGCAGUGCAUGAAAGAACUCUAAACUGUGGUGAGUCGUGAGUAUAUGUCAGCAGGACACAGGAAAGCUCUCCUAUUCUUUUGGACGUCGCUGAAGAAUCUACCUGUAGAAGGUUUUGGUUAUACAUUUACAAGGUUGUGUUUUCUUCCUUAAUUACCAGUCGGUGGAAGUCAUGCAAGAUGGUCUAAGCCUCAUUACCCAGGAUACAUUAUCUGUCGGGAUGUCAAUUCUCUUGGUGGCACGUACAAAAAUUAAUACAAGCAUUACAUAAUAUA